rnacentral:misc_RNA from 1 species
GAAUGAUUUUUACGAGCAUUCUUGCUGCCAUCAAUUCAUCCUCUGCAUCGUUAUCAUCUCACUGGUGUCACCUAUAUCGACGUCUUUUGUGUGGCUAUUCUUUAUGCAUUACACAUUCUUAUCCUAAAUUCCUAAUCUCUUCAUGUCUUUGCCUUUCAUUCUACUUUGAACUGAUCCAUUUCUAUACAAAAACAAACCCAACUCCACACUAAGAAAAAUCAUGGAAUUGGCUCAAGAUGUUGUGAUAAUAGGAGCUGGAAUUGCUGGACUUACUACAUCCUUGGGUCUUCAUAGGUUUUGAAUCCAACUUUUUAAAUUUUUAUUAAAUUUAUAUUUUUAGAUUUUACUAAUUUAUUGCAUUCUUAAUUACUUUUUAGGCUUGGAAUUAAAAGCUUAGUACUGGAAUCCUCUUCUGAUUUGAGGAUUACUGGAUUUGCUUUGUCUAUCUGGACCAAUGCUUGGAAGGCUUUAGAUGCUAUUGGUAUUGGUGAUUAUCUCCGGAAUCAACAUGAACGAAUUGAUGGGGUAAUUGCAACCUCAACAAUCACAGGCCAAAUGGGUGCACAAGUGUUCUGUAAGAACAAAGGGAAGCAUGGAGAGCAUGAGGUUCGUUGUGUGAAGAGGAAAUUGUUGCUAGAAGCCCUUGCACAUGAACUCCCUCAUGGUACUAUAAGGUUCUCCUCCAAAGUGGUUUCUAUUGACCAAUCAGGUUACUUAAAGCUAGUCUAUCUUGAUGAUGGUACCAUUAUCAAAACCAAGGUGUUAAUCGGGUGUGAUGGGGUGAACUCAGUGGUGGCGAAAUGGCUUGACUUCAACGAACCAGUUUUUACGGGUAGAUUAGCGAUAAGGGCAUAUGCUAAUUUUGAAGGCGGCCAUGGAUAUGGUCCUAAUUUUUUCCAGUUCUUUGGUAAUGGUUUCCGUUCAGGUUUCCUCCCCUCUGAUGAUACUUCUAUGUAUUGGUUUUUCUCUUGGUCUCCCAAUACCUCAGGUAAUAACCAUGUAUUUAAUGGUAAAAAUUUAUUUACGCUUAUUCACAAAUUUAAAAUAUAAAUAUAUAUAUUUUAUUUAUUUUACAUGUAUAUUCCACUUUAUAUAUUUCAUCUUGAAUUUACGAUAAAUUAGAUAAGAAUCACUUCUCUAAAUUCAAAUAUUUUCACAUUUUAAAAUUAACUUGACAAUCUGAGUACACAAUGGUUAAUUAUUUUUUGUGAAAAUUAAAGGCACUAAAUAUGUAAUUAUUCUACUUUCUAACCCUUGAACAAUAUUAAACAGGAUAAAUGGAACAAAGAGCAUAUAAAACAAAAAUACAGAAACUAAGUAAUUUAUUUAUUUUUUAAAUAAGAAGACCAAAUAUUUAGUUUAGUUAAAAUAAAAGUAAUGAAUAAUAAUUUUCUAUUUUUUUAUUACAAUUGAUUUUCACUGGACUGAACUCAAAAUCUCAAAACCUUCAUUAUUAUUUGUUAGAACUCAUUGCUGACAAGGGUUAAUUAUUAAUUAUUUUUCACCAUUAUCUCGCUGUUGUGCAAAUCCUAUGUAGACAAAAAGCCAGAGGAGAACCCAGCCAAGUUGAAGCAAUUUGUACUCAGCAAACUUGAAAAUGCAGCUGAUAAACACAUGAGGACAAUAGUAGAAGCAACUGAGCUGGAUAAUAUUGUAUGUAAUCCUCUGAGAUAUAGACAUCCAUGGGAGAUGCUAAGGGGAAAUGUAAGCAAAGGCAAUGUGUGUGUAGCUGGAGAUGCUCUCCAUCCCAUGACGCCAGAUAUCGGCCAAGGUGGUUGUGCUGCCUUGGAAGACGGCGUAGUUUUAGCUAGGUGCCUAGCUGAGGCAUUGAAGAAACAAGUAAUUGUAGAAAAUGAAGAGAGAGACAAGGAAGAAUGUAAGAGGAUUGAAGUUGGGUUGAAAAAAUAUGCAGCAGAGAGGAGAUGGAGAAGCUUUGAGCUCAUAACUACAUCUUCUUUGGUUGGAUUUAUACAGCAAAGUGAUAGCAAGUUAUUGAACUUCUUCAGGGAUAGAAUUUUGGUUAAAUUUCUUGCUAGGUUGCUAUUGAAGAGAUCUGAUUUUGACUGUGGAAAGCUCAACAAUAUUUCUUCAGCUUAGGCUUUCAAUUGUUUCGCAGAAACUAACUUGUAUAAAAUUAUUUUCUAACAAAAUAUUUUUUAUUUAAUUAGAAUGUUGUAUUAAUAGUAUGUAUUUAUAUUAUGUAUGUAUAAAUAUUUUAAC